rnacentral:misc_RNA from 1 species
GAUGAAGAACGUAGCGAAAUGCGAUAAGUAGUGUGAAUUGCAGAAUUCAGUGAAUCAUCGAAUCUUUGAACGCACAUUGCGCCCUUUGGUAUUCCUUAGGGCAUGCCUGUUCGAGCGUCAUUUAAACCUUCAAGCUCAGCUUGGUGUUGGGUGACUGUCCGCCGCCUCCGGGCGGUCGGACUCGCCUCAAAUUGAUUGGCGGCCGGUACUUUGGCUUCGAGCGCAGCAGAAACGCGAACUCGAGGCCGUCGUCCUGGCUCCCAGAAGCUAUCUUCACAAUUUUGACCUCGGAUCAGGUAGGGAUACCCGCUGAACUUAAGCAUAUCAAUAAGGGAGGA